UAGCAAUAACACAUUUGCUGAGUGGAGACAAUAGCAAUACCCCCGGGGGUGGGGGGUGGAGGUAAGAAUGAAAUGGACAAUGCACGUGAAAUGUACGGCUCUUUCUAACGUCCGCUGGUCAUCACCAGCAUCCCCGAGAGAGAGAGAUCCAGCAUCUCACCUCCUCCACACCACCACCUGCCCCCUCCGUGAUAGGGUAAGACUGAAGCUCAGGCGGUUGGAGGACUGGUCCAAGGUCACAUGGCUGCUGAGAAACUAGGCAGCUGGCCUCGUGAAUGAAUGAAGGAAGGAAGGACCGAAGGGACGAAAGGUUGAGUGAGUGAAGAGCGCGGGAAAGAAGGACCUCCGAGGGCCAAGGGCGGGGCGACACCCCUUGUUCCCUCUCCCGCCCCCCCCCCCCACGGCCUUGGCUGGCUCGCGCGCACAGUGGGGGCAGGGCCAGCCAAGGUAGAUGACGAGGCCGCAGCUGGUUUAGUUUAAGAGGCUCCGGCAGGGAGGGAAGGGGGCGAGUAUACAGGGGGCGUCCAGACCCCGCGGAGGAAGUGACUCACUCAGAAAACGCCACCGCCGACAACCCCCCUAGCAGCCGGAGGGAGGGAGGGGCGGGGCCUGGCCGGCCACGCCCCUGCCAGACGCGGGGCGGGACCCUCGGGCUCCAAGCCGCCUGCCCCCGCCCCCCAUCCGCACCCCCUCACCUCUUGGCUUCGGGGGCCACCUCGCCCCGCACUCUGAGGCACUCGCCAGGUUUGAGAUUCAGGUUGCUGGCGACCAGACCCUGCAAAGACGAGACCACACCAGCCGGACGGGGCCACUGAGGCCCAGAAGAAAGAAGGCCCUUGUUCAAAGCCACACCCUGGGGACUAGAACCCAGAUCAUCUGCGCCUACUCUCCUCUGUCUGCCCCCACGCCAUCCCUGGGCCUUGGAGCGGGGUCCCCGCACUCACGCAAGCCAUGAUUGAGGACAGGAGGAUGUUCCUGCGGACUGCGGCACCAGCGGUCUCAAGACUCUAGGAGAGAGAUGGGCCCCCGGGGCCGCUCCCACCCUUUUAACUGGACCAGACUCCGGUGAGUCCCGCCCCCCCUGGGCGCCCAACCAAUUGUAAGUCAGGACAGAGAAGGGGGCCCCACCGGAGGCGGAGUCAAUGGAAUUUUGAAGCCCUUCGGGAGCAGAGGUGACCAAUCGGAGCGGUAGCACACUGCUGGGGCCGGACCUGGCCAUGAACCUGAGUAAGUAGCAUGUUGCUGGCCCUAAGGGGAGUCAUGAACAAGCACCGUGGUGCCGAGGAGACUGUCCAGAGUGUGAAGAAGGUGGGUUUUGAAGGACGGAUGAAGAAGGAGGGCCUGGCUUUCCAGCGUGAGCAAAGGCGCAGACCGGAACAGUGAACAUCUGGGCAUGGCUGGAGUUUGGGGUAUGUUGGGGAAAGAUGGGGCACGGGGCCGGGAGGCCAACAGUACGUGGAUCAUGAAGGGCCUCUUUAAGGGGCUUGGCCAUGGUUUUAACUGAGGGUGCUGGGGAGCCAUAGAAGGUUAUAGGGAAGGUGAGUAUUGAGGACAGACACGAGUUACAGGGAAGAUCGCUGCAGCAAGAGUUGAGGGUGGAUUGGAGGGGUGCUCACCUCAUACCCAGGAGCCAGGAGGAGAGAGGGGGAUGGGGAGCACUAGGCAAGGUGGGUCACUUACUCGGAGAGUUGUCAUUGGGACCUCCUUCCCCGCAUUGCCAUCUCCCUUCUGAAAUUGCCAGCACCGAAGAUGUGGACCAGGAGGGACUCACAUCUGGAGGCCAGGCCCUCCGCUGCCCCCCCCUCCACCCCACCUUCCUCCGGAUGACUGAAGCCCACCCCUGGCACAGGAGGAGUGGGAAGGGGGGGGCUCAUUGGGCCUCGAUGCAGGCCGCCCCCUGUCUGAGCCCAUCACCCCUCGGAGCCCAAGCCUCCGAAACCAACCACAGCUGUUUCAGUUUUUCCUCCAGGGCCUCUCCUAAACCUCAACGCAGGGAGGGGGUGGGCGGAGCCAGCUCCGAGGCCUUUCCUGUGUGCUUCCCCUCCAAGGGCCACGGACACCCUCCGCCUGAUCAAGCAAUAGGGGCAUUUGAGGAGUCCUGGACCGAGGAGCAGAGGUGGUUCCGGCACAGUCCUUUCCUGGCUGCGUCGCGUGGGUCUGGCUGGCUGUCCCAGCCCAGCAGGUGGGCUCCCAGGGCAUCAAGAGCUGCUUCCCCCAAGUUGGAAGACAGGCCCAGCACCACGAAGCGUUUGCUGUUGGACGAGGGGCUGCUUUAUUCUCCAGGGUCUGGCCAGCUGAGGGCUGGUAGAGAAUUGGCAUGGCGUGGGGAACAGGCCUCCAGAAAGGCCCCUCUGGGAGUCUGGGGAGUUGGAAUCCGGUCCCAGCCCUGCCACGCCGUCCCCAAGGGCAUCCUGGCAAAUCAGUCUGCCCAUCUGUAAACUGGGGAGGUUAAACCUGCUCUCCUACCCAAGGUUGCUACGGGGUGGAAUUCAUGUCUGUUGCACUAAAUAGGUGAUUCCCCCCACCCCCCCCCUCCCCCCGCAAUCUCAGAAGGUUUUAGCUUCCCUCUUGUCUCUUUCUAGGCUGAGCUUACCUUUCUGGGGUCAACGCCUCUGGGAAGUCUCCCUCUUACCCCCACCUGACCCCCAACAGUCCCUGCCUGCCUAUGCUGGAGCAGGGAGUCUCUCCAGAUUCCAGUGUCCCCUGUAACAGGGGUCAUGGUUUUCCCGGGUGGGGGCAGGGACCACAGGCGCACUCUGUGUGCCGAGCUCCCGCCCAGUCCUCGGGGCCUCCUAGCGAUGGCACCCACUUAUCUGCCCGGCCCUGUGCCCGGCGCCUUGCUUUCAUACAUUAUCUCAUUUCAUCUACACCUCCCCCCUGCCUAAUGCUUGCCAGCUGGGAUGUACCGCACAGGGAAGCCGCUCCGGGCCCUGAAAUGAAUGAAGCUGGUGUCAGAAUCGGGAGAAGGGAGGCGAGUCCUAAUUUGGGGGCUGCCUGGCUGUGACUGCGGCCAAGGACCUUACCCUCGCGGAACCCGUUUCCAGGCCUGGAAAGUGGGAAUGUUAGCAUUCACUGACUGGCUGCAGGAUUACAGAGGUGAUGUGGGGGGGGGGGGGCUCCACAUUAGUUCUCUCUUCUGCACCCUCAAGGCCGAGGCUCCCCACCGGGGGGGCUCUCCUUCUCCCUCACUGCUCUGCAGCAGAGGCAGUGAACUCUCUGGAAUAUUCCCCCAUUCUAACAGGCAGCUCUGCAGGCUGGACCUUGGCCGCUGCUGUUAGAAAUGAGCUGGACAGGGGACCCAGGCCAGCGCGGCCCUUCCCAGCCUGCCGACUCCUGCCCUGUCCUGCCCGCUCCUGCCCUGCCCGUGUGAAGGCAGUCCCUCCUCCAGCCGGCAGUGGCAGGGAGGGCUGCCGGACGCAUUGAAACACCAUCCACACCCCUCAGCCAACCUGACUGGCCCAGCCUGGGGACGGUGGAGGUGACCAGAGCAGGCUCCGAAGUCCUAGAAGUCAGAGCAGGAAACGACCCCAGAGAUUCUGCACCUGAUCUGCUCCCUCAUUUAAGGAUGGAGCAGAAGCCACCCAAAGAGACCGGCUACUUGGCCAAGGUCACACAGGGAGCCAGGGCUGAAGUGACUUCCGUCUAUGGAGCCAAGGAAAGAACGUGAUCCCAGGAUACCUGGACCUCAAAAAGUGAUCUUUUCCGGGGCGCCUGGGUGGCUCAGUCAGUUAAGCGGCCGACUUCGGCUCAGGUCACGAUCUUGCGGGUUUGUGGGUUCGAGCCCCGCGUCGGGCUCUGUGCUGACGGCUCAGAGCCCGGAGCCUGCUUCGGGUUCCGUGUCUCCUUCGCUCUCAGCCCCUCCCCCACUUGUGCUCGGACUCUCUCUCUCAAAACUAAAUAAAUGUAAAAAACAAGUGAUCGUUUCCUCCUGUUCCAUGAAGGGUAGAAGGGACUGUGGCAGGGUGGGGGGAUGCCCCCUAAGCUCAGGCACUCUCCCAGCCCCCACUUACCUUGCCCAUCCGUCUUACCUCCCUGCCUUCCUCUGCUGCCCAGACAGCCACCUCCCCCCACACAGUGGGCUUCUGUCACUUUUGCCUUCCCACCUGGUGUCUGUCCCCCUUCUGAUUACAGGCCCUCACUCGUCUUUGGGGAACUACCUCUCCUCUCCAGGAGGUCUGGGUGGGGUUGAGGCCCUGCCAUUCAUUAGCCCUCUAGGGCUCAGGCGUGAGUCUUUAUUUUUGUAACGUUUUCUUUUGCCAUAAGUAUAGACUCGCAGGAAGCGGAGAGCUCUUUAAGAGCCUAGAAAAUAUUUGAGACCUGAAGAGAAAAAAUGUAUUGGCUCUGGAAUGGUAAAACUGGAAAGCUGAAACGAAUCAACCUUUACUCACGCUUAAAACCUGGUGGUGGUAAAAACGGAAACGUUUGGAAACAAUUUUCUUGGGUUGAAUUUUCUUAUUUCAAAAGUGUGUCCAAGUCUUCCUAGAGGUUGGUCACUCCUACCUUAGAUCCCCAUUGGCCAAAUAAUGUCUCAAACAAACGUAUAAAAAUACUUUGGAAAUGCAUAGCAACCUCCCCGCCCCGCCUUUAUUUAAUGUGGGGCUUACGGAAGGGGGUGCAUUUUAAUGUUUUCUAGAAUAUGCCUGGGGCCUGUGGAUCAGGAGAGUUUUUGGGUGGCAAGUAACAGAAAACUCGACAGAAAUCAUUCUAAAAACUAUAAAAAAAAUGUUUAUUAGAGA